rnacentral:lncRNA from 1 species
UUUUUAAUUGGCUCCCGUGACAUUGCCAUCCUUGAUAGUAUCACACCAUUUCUUUUCAUCUCUUUUUGCUAUCUUAUAUGUAACAGUUUAGUGAUGUACUUUCUUAAAGCAUUGUCAUGAAGAGGAUAAUAAUAGGGUAAAACUCAAGCAUAGGCGUGAGCCACCGUACCCUGCCUAAUCUUUCUCCUUCUGCACCUCCUCCCUCUUCUAUCCUUUGCCCAGGCCCCCUUUAUUUUCCCAAAAAAUAUCCUAAAAUUCCAAAAUGCCAAUUACCUCUAAAGAUCUAUGCUUUCAAGAGCCAAGUAUGUAGGCAACUGUCAGAUGUAAACCUUGGACCCAGGAUGAAUUAACAGCUGCAACUAAAGAUUUCUCUAAACCCAAAUAAGACUAGCAUGUGUUCAUAGAGAAAUUUCGAAUUCUUUCAUAUGCAUAUGACCCAGAGUUAUGUGACUUACACCAUGUUAUGGUUUAAACCUUUGUCUUCUCCAAACUCAUGCUGAAAUCUAAUUGCCACUGUAACAAUAUUAAGAGGUGGAACCUUUAAGAGGCUUCAGAUCAUGAGGGCUCCACCCUCAUAGGUGGACUAAUGCUAUCAUCGCAAGAAUGGGUUCUUAUUCCCUCUUGCUGUCUCUUUGCUCUUCUACCAUUUGAUGGCUUCUGUCAUGUUAUGAUGCAGCGAGAAGGCCCUCACCAGAUGCUAGUAUCUUGGUAUUGGACUUCCCAGCCUCCAAACUACGAGCCAAUAAAUGUCUCUUCUUUGUAAAUUACCCAGCCUGUGGUAUUCUGUUAUAGAAGCACAAAACAGACUAAGACAUGCCACUUGUAUACAUGUUGGUGUGAACCUCAGAUGAUAAAUCCUGAAUGAUGAAAGGUGAUUAGACUGACCUGGAUAGGCAGCUACAGGGCACCUUUUUCCACAAUAAACCACAAUAAAACUAUAGGUCAAAAAGGCUAGGAAAUUAAGAUCAAGUCUCCUAAAAGCCAUACCUCAAAUGUUUUCAAUCAAAAUCCAUUCGAACAGAGUAGCUACAAUUAAAAGAAACAGAAGAACACAACAAGUGUUGUCAAGGAUGUGGAAAAAUUAGAAACAUGUGCCUUUUGAUAAGAAUGUAAAAUGAUGCAGCCACCAUGGUGGCUGUGCACCUGUGGUCUCAGCUACUCAGGAGGCUGAGGUAGGAGGAUCACUUGAACCUGGUAUUGGACUGUGGUAAGCUGAGAUUACACCACUGCACCACUCCAGCCUGAGUGCCAGAGGAAGACCUGCCUCAAAAAAUAAAAAAUAAAAAAAAUUCACCAGGCAUGGUGGUGGCACACUUUUAGUCCUAGCUACUUGGAAAUCUGAGGCAGGAGGAUCUCUUGAGCCCAGGAUGUCAAGGAUGCAGUGAACUGUGACUGUGCCACUUACUCCAGCCUGGGUACAGAGCAAUACCCUGUCUCCAAAAGAUAAUUUAAAACUAAGAAAAAAUUUUAAAAUAGAAUUAUAUGUGAUCCAGCAAUUUUACUUCUGGGUAUAUACAAAAAGAAAUUAAAGUAGGGCUUCAUGAAGAUAGUUCCACACCCACACACAAAAAAAAGUAUUCAUUGAUGAAUGACUGGAUAAAGAAAAUAUAUAUACAAUGGAAUAUUAUUCAGCCUUAGCAAGGAAGGAAAUUUUGACACACACAGCAACAUGGAAGAACUUGAGGACUUAUUGUAAGUGAAGUAAGCUAGUCACAAAACAAUACAUUUGUAUGAUUCUACUUGUAUAAGCUACCUCAAGUAGUCAAAUACAUAGGAAAGUAGAUAGGGGUUUCCAAGAAGUGGGAGAGCAAAAACUAGAAGUUCCUCAAUUCAGAUCACUGAGUGUCUUAUGAGGAAAGGUAGUGUCUAAUAUCUUCCCAUACACUUAAACGCUCAGAUUCAAACAUAAAUGUACCUGAUCAUCCUCAUCUAUUCCUGGUAGAUAACAGGUGCUAUACUUUCUACAUUAAAUCUUGUCAAAAUAAUAAUAACAGUAGCCAAGUGUGGUGGUGCUCACCUGUAGUCCCAGCUACUUGAGAGGCUGAGGCAGGAGGAUCACUUGAGCCCAGGGGUUCCAGGUGGCAGUGAGCUAUGAUCAUGCCACUGUACUCCAGCUUAGGGGACAGAGUGAGAUCCUGUCUCUAAAAACAAAGUAAACAAAAAAAAAAAAAAAAAAAAGAAAGCACAACAAAACAACAGUAAGAAAUUUAUUUUCUUUACAAAUUACCCAGUUUAAGGUAUUUUGUUGUAAGCAAUGGAAAAUGGACUAAUGCACUGUUGUUGUAUGUCUGACAUGCCCCAGGGAUAUAACAUACCUGAUUUUUAAAUUCAGGACACAUAGCUCCUGAGGCAGGAUCUAGACACCAGCUAUUCCUAUGCAAUGCUGGAGAAUAUGGGACAUCCAUAUGUACAGAUACCCACCUCAUACAGCUGCAACAUGCUCUGACAACUGUCAAACCAACAACCCUCAAGCUGACUGUAGAACUACCAAUAAUCAAAUUCACGGCGCGAUUUUGGAUAGAAGUCCGUCACUUUCCCAGGAACUCCCGAAGCAAUGCAAAUUGGGCCUGAUGUGGAUUGAAAGCUAUUUUGUCUUCUUAUUUCUUCAAGAGCACAAAAAGUUGAAGGCCCCAAAAACCAUUCACUUUUUCAUUCUGGCAAAGCCUAAUUUUGUUCUCAACCCGCAGCACACAGUGAAGAGAACCCCAAGAGUAAAUGUAGCUUAAACAAUAUGACCUUUAUCAUCAGAAGAAAACAGCAAUGCUUAGGUGGAAAUUGACUGGGUUGGGAAGCUUGGAAGGUAGAAAAUUUAUCAUCAACAUUAUCAGUAUCAGACAACUAAUAAUACCUCUGAAAAAAGGAAAUCUCUACAAGCUGCCAGCUGAAGUUGGCGUGUGUUCUCUGUCCAAAGCUGGGUGAUGUCCACACCCAAACCAGUCAGGGGACUGGGAAUGAGGCCCCCAAAGGGAACAAAUGACUGAAUAUUCCAGAUAAAGGUAGAGAACACAGCAAUCUAUGCACCACCCCCCCACCCCCCAUUUUUUAAAAACAUUUAACCAGAAGUCCAGACCUUAUCACUCUCUAAGUAAUUUAAGGUGACUAAGGUGAUGCACAUUGUGGCACCAUGACAGCUAAUAGCAGGAGUCUUCUGUAAUGCACACUUUCAGCAACUUAACUCUGGAAAGGCCCCAGGCAGGGUCAGAAAGUGCAACAUCAUUCACAAAAAUUUACCAUAUAUCUGACAAUUACAACAAAUCUCCCUUGCGUGGAUGUUUGGAUGUGAGAUUCAAUUUCAGGCUGAGAUCUCCCUCAACAAGCUAACACAGGGUCAUCCAAGGGAAAGAAUACAGUCAUGGGUUCUUAGUUUGUUUCUAGCUGGGCCAGUAAAGCUCCUUUCUCAUCUCAUUCCUCUUGUCCACCUACCACUAGAGACAGAAACAAAACCAUGGCUUCAGGCUAAAAGCCUAAAACAAAACAGAGCAACAAAAAAAUAGGGUGAGUAAGACAAGCUCGAUAGAGCUUUGCUGUUUUUGACCUGUUGACAAAGGAAAAAAAGUAUAUUGCCUGCAUUCCUAAGGACUUUCUCCAGGAUGAACUUACUCUUGCUCAGUGAAGUUAGGCUGAAUACUUUCUAACAUUUGCUGCACUCAUAAUAUUCUGCUGGUUGUAUAGUAAUAACAUACAAAGGUGUUUUUCUGAUGUCAGGACAUGUCACAAUGAUAAUCAUAAAAUGUAGACCACUUUGCUACUUACAGCUUGAAACCUAAGGACAUAGGCAGGGCUGCAAGAGUUAUGAGGGAACCCAAGAUAACAGCAAGCUGGAGCUUAGGGGGCAGCUUGUGUGUGCCAUGUAAAUUGGGGUUAGCUAGGUUUUCAGGGACCCCUGUGCAUUGACCAAUGGAAUAAUUUUACAAGCUCCUGGGCACAGAAGCUGUCCCUAGAUAUCUGAUUCCUGAUCCUGGGGUGAUUGGGUCUUACAUAUUGUGGCCCAGAGUUUGAGAGCCUGAUAAGGAAAAUGGUUGGGAGUGUGGACUUAAUCUGCUGCUCCAAAAUUGUAACUGACAAGCCUCUACCAAGGGCCUUAAUGCUAGGCAAAAACAUUAUUCUUUUGAUGUUAAAAAAAAAAAACUGGAUAUCCACACGCAAAAGAAUUAAGUUGCUAAAAUGAACUCAAAUGCAUCAAAGACUUAUAAAACAGAUAUAUUAGACUCCAUUUAAAUUCAAAAUUCCUGUGUAAAAAAGGACAUAAUGGACAGAGUGAAAAGGAAAAAGACUCAAUGGGAGAAAGUAUUUGAAAACCACAUAUCUGAGAAGGAAUAUCUAGAAUAUGAGGGGUCUUCAAAAGUUUCAUGAAAAAUGAGAAAAAAAUGUAUAUUAUGAAAAAAUUGGCCAGGGGUGGUGGCUUAAGCCUGUAAUCACAGCACUUUGUGAGGCCCAGGCAGGUGGAUCACCUGAGGUCAGGAGUUCGAGAGCAGCCUGGCCAACAGAGUGAAAACCCAUCUCUACUAAAAAUACAAAAAUUAGCUGGGCGUGAUUGUGGGCACCUGUAAUCCCAGCUACUCAAGAGGCUGAGGCAGGAGAAUUGCUUGAACCCAGGAGGCGGAGGUUGCAAUGAGCCGAGAUCAUGCCACUGCACUCCAACCUAGCGUUAGUGAGACUCUGUCAAAAAAAAAAAAAAAAAUUAUGUAUGGAUUUCAAUUUUUUACACCAAAGUGAAUUUGUAAUAACUUGUUCUAACAAGUAUGAACAGGAUCUAGUUUGAGGCACUAAGAACGGCAUCAGUUUGAAAACACCUUCUAUCAGAGGAAUGUGAAUUCAGCUAAGGUUGAAGAAAGAACAAAUAUCAAAUAUAUAGUAAAGCUUGGCUCUAAAAAUGGUAAAACCGGCCGGGUGCGGUGGCUCGCGCCUGUAAUCCCAGCACUUUGGGAGGCCGAGUUUGGGCGGAUCACAAGGUCAGGAGUUCAAGA